CAUUUCUUCAAAGAAAAUAACACAAAACCAUUCACUCCUAAACCAAAAAACCCUAGUAAUUUAUUUCACACGCUUUAGCGAAAUCGACGAUAUCUCUCAACAGCGACACUUCUUUAGCGACAACGACCACUCGCUCUGCCGGAGCAGGGAUCGUGGACGGUAAAGGUUAAUAAAACUUUCUAAUAACUUCUAUUUUUAGUUUUUGGGUCAAAAUUGAUUCACGAUUUCUGGCAUUUUUAUUCGUUGUCCACAAGUUUAUGAAAGGAUGAAGGUGAACAAGAAAGAAGCACAAAACCAACCUCCGAAAAAUGCCGCUCAAUCUGGUUGGCGAACUUUGAAGAACAAUUGACAGGGAAUCAUUGAUGGCAAAGGCGAAAACCUAAGCAAAUAUGAAUGGUCCUGAAAAAGCACAAUCGGAAAUGAAAUGGCAACACCAAAAAUUGGAAAGGAAUCUACUAAGGCUCCCACAAUUGAUGGAUCCAAUGUUUUAAAAGAUGGAAGUCAACAUGGGUGAGAGAAGGCCAUUGGAAUUGUCGACUAUCGACUAGAUAUAAGGGUGUGCUUCAGUAUUUAAGAGCUAAAAAGUAUUGUGUUGAAGUUCGCCGAAAAUAAUCACAACUCCCUUUCCAAUAAAACAUCGACAUCCAAACAUUAUGCAACAGACAACAAGAAAAUGAUGAUCGACGUUGAAAAGAUGAUAGCAAGCUACAGAGCUUUUG